CCUGCCGUGCCACCUGCCCCACUCCCCCUGGGCCUGCCUGCUCCUGUCUCAGGAACUCCUAGAUAGUAGGAUCCGGGCACACCUCCUCUGCCAAGCACCCUCCAAGGUCAGCGGUGCAGAGCACGGCAGGUGGUCCUGAGGUGUGUGAGGAAGCAGGCCAAGAAAGCCACGGGGAGUAAACCACAAACCGCACUCCCGCACAGCUUCUGCUUCAGUUCCUGCGUCUAGGUCCCUGCCUCCAGUUCUUCCCCGACUUCUCUUCAUGAUGCCCUGUGAUCUGGACCUGUAAUCUGAAAUAAACCCUUUCCUCCCCAAA